GUGAGGGAUAUUGCGCAAUGGGGGAAACCCUGACGCAGCGACGCCGCGUGGGUGAAGAAGGUCUUCGGAUCGUAAAGCCCUUUUGCCACUGACGAGAGAGGACGGUAGGUGGCGAAUAAGCCUCGGCUAACUACGUGCCAGCAGCCGCGGUAAAACGUAGGAGGCGAGCGUUAUCCGGAGUUACUGGGCGUAAAGAGCGCGCAGGCGGCUGGGUAAGUGGCUUGUGAAAGCCCCUGGCUAAACCGGGGGAGGACAGGUCAGACUGCCGAGCUAGAGGAUGGUAGAGGAGCGCAGAAUUCCGGGUGUAGCGGUGAAAUGUGUAGAGAUCCGGAGGAAUACCAGUGGUGAAGACGGCGCUCUGGGCCAUUACUGACGCUGAGGCGCGAAAGCGUGGGGAGCGAACGGGAUUAGAAACCCCAGUAGUCC
rnacentral:rRNA from 1 species